GCAUAUGGAGGUUCCCAGGCCAGGGGUCGAAUCAGAGCUGCAGCUGCCAGCCUACACCACAGCCACAGCCACAGCCACACCAGAUCCAAGGCAUGUCUGCAAACUACACCACAGCUCAUCGCAACACCAGAUCCUUAACACAGUGAGCAAGGCCAGAGAUCGAACCUGCAUCCUCAAGGAUUCUAGUCAGAUUCAUUUCCGCUGAGCCAUGAGGAGAGCUCCCCAAUCCAUCCUUCAAGAGCGUUUGUGGCAGCUAUGAACACACACAAGGAGAAGCACUUCCCCAGAGCUUGGGUGAGAGGGGUCAAGUGCCCUCCAGGGCUGCCAGCUAGAACUUCCUGCAACAAUUGACUGGAUUUAAUUAAAUUUUUAUUUUUUAAAACAUUUAUUUUGGAGUUCCUGUCAUGGUGUAGAGGAAACGAACCCAACUAGGAAGUCAUUGAGGGUUGGCUCCCUGGCCUUUCUCAGCGGGUUAAGGAUCCGGCAUUGCUGCGAGCUGUGGUGUAGGUCACAGAUGCAGCUUGGAUAUGGUGUUGCUGUAGCCGUGGUGUAGACUGGCAGCUGUAGUUCCGACUGGACCCCUAGCCUGGGAACCUUCAUGUGUCGUGGGUGUGACCCUUUAAAAAUUUUUCUUUUUUAUUGAAAUAUAGUUUAUUUACAGUGUUGUGUUAAUUUCCACUGUAUAGCAAAGUGAUUCAAUUAUACAUAGAUGUCCUUUUUCAUAUUCUUUUCUAUUAUGGUUUAUCACAGGAUACUAGAUACUAUGCUAGACAAUAGGAUACAUUUUUAUUUUUGGGGAAUAAUUCAUGUCACUCCGAGGGGCUUGUGUAGGCCAUCCUGGACAGCCCAGGUCCAGCUCCUGGAUCCUGGAUUUCACUCUGUUCUCCACUGGGAGGGAUCACGCCAGGCUCCUGGGCCCUCCUGCUGCUGCCUUCUUUCUUUGCCUCUGUCCAGGUUUUUCUUGCCACAGAGAGUGGCCAUCACAGCCCUGUGAGAAGGGCAGCCAGUCCCUUAAAUCUGAAUUCACCUUCAGGAAUUUCGCGGCAGAGGCAGAAUUGGAAAGACUGUGCCAGCAUGGAGGUGAGGUCCAGGGAGCCAGAGGAGAAAGGCCAAAGCAAGAGGGUGCAGGAGCCAGAAGGAAGCAGAGGUGGAAAAAGAAGGUGGGAGAGCGCAGGAGCCCCCAGGGAGCUAAAGCCAGCUCCCCAAGGUCACAAUAUCCCAGCACCCUGCAGGCCCAGCUUCCCAUCAACCAGUUUCAUCCAACCAGCAAGUUUCAUUCAACCUGCUGAGGACAACCAAAGGGAUGGAAACAUGCAUGGAAAAGGAAGAAAGGAGAAGAAAAUACCAGGGCCUCUGAGCUGGAAGCAACAGAUCACUGCUGGGGACCAGGGCAUCCCUCCAUCCCUCUUAGCCCUUCUUUUCUACCUCAAGCCCCAACUGCAGAGACAGAGGCCUCCUGGGGCAUCUGCCAAACCCAGCUUCUGUGGGGACUGUGCCCCUUGCAAAAGCAGAGCCCUGCCACCAUGCUUCUGAUGCAAGACCCUUUCCCGGGGGACGGAAUGGAGGAAGAGAGGAGGGAGAGGUGGGGACACAGGCGGAAAUGCCCAAGAGGGAGGAGAAUGCAAAGGAGAGAAAGGCAGGAGUUCCCGUUGUGGCUCAGUGGUUAACGAAUCCGACUAGGAACCAUGAGGUUGCAGGUUCGAUCCCUGGCCUUGCUCAGUGGGCUGAGGAUCCAGCGUUGCCGUGAGCUUUGGUGUAGGCUGCAGAUGCGGCUCGGAUCCUGAGUUGCUGUGGCUCUGGUGCAGGCCAGAGGCUACAGCUCCGAUCCGACCCCUAGCCUGGGAACCUCCAUAUGCCGCGGGAGCGGCCCAAAGAAAUGGCAAAAAGACAAAAAAAAAGGAGGAGAGAAAGGCAGAAGGUAGCAGAGGAAGGUUGUGGAAGGCAAUCCCAGUUCCUGACCCUAAUUCUGCAAUGACCCAACCAGAGCAUUUACCAACCCAACCAAGGUGCCUUGGUGAGUGCGAGCUGACACUGUGAACAAUGAUCCGGGGACAGCAGGUGUAAACCAAGACUGUCAGGGCCCACCGGGAUGCCUGGUCUUUGCUCCAGGCUCUACAAUGCUCCCCUCCCUUGGGGUCCCUGAAGGACUCCUUCGACCUUCCAGAAAAUCCUGCCUUUUAGUUUAGCUGUUUGAGUGGUUUGGGACAAAGCGUAGGGGAUUCUACCCCCGGCUUCAGACCCAAGGGCAGGCCCUGUGCAGUGUGACAGCCUUGGUUCCUGCCCUGCUUUCUCUUUCCACCAGCCACCUCACCAUUGGGCCUGGUCCUGAGCCACCAAGAGGUUCCUUCCACCGAGAAAGGAGAAAAGGAAAGUAAGAAAAGAUGGGAGCCAGCGUGGUGUCCUGCUAAAGCUGGCCUCUUCCGAGGUUAACAAAAGUCUGAGAGCUUUUUUAGGCCGAAGUGGAACCGGGUUCCUCCCAGGUGGAAAGACUCUGUUCUAGAACUCUGGUUUGACUAUAGGAUGCUUCCAGACAAGCUGGUGGGCAUCCGCUCCCAACCCUCAGAGCACAG
ensembl:lncRNA